rnacentral:rRNA from 1 species
GAUGAACGCUGACAGAAUGCUUAACACAUGCAAGUCAACUUGAGUUUGGGUUUUUAACUUAGGUUUGGGUGGCGGACGGGUGAGUAACGCGUAAAGAACUUGCCUCACAGCUAGGGACAACAUUUGGAAACGAAUGCUAAUACCUAAUAUUAUGAUAAUAGGGCAUCCUAUAAUUAUGAAAGCUAUAAGCGCUGUGAGAGAGCUUUGCGUCCCAUUAGCUAGUUGGAGAGGUAACGGCUCACCAAGGCGAUGAUGGGUAGCCGGCCUGAGAGGGUGAUCGGCCACAAGGGGACUGAGACACGGCCCUUACUCCUACGGGAGGCAACAGUGGGGAAUAUUGGACAAUGGACCAAGAGUCUGAUCCAGCAAUUCUGUGUGCACGAUGAAGUUUUUCGGAAUGUAAAGUGCUUUCAGUUGGGAAGAAAGAAAUGACGGUACCAACAGAAGAAGUGACGGCUAAAUACGUG